rnacentral:tRNA from 1 species
CGGGGUAUAGCGUAGCCUGGUAGCGCAUCUGGUUUGUUUAAGAGGGUCGGGGGUUCAAAUCCCUCUACCCCGA